rnacentral:lncRNA from 1 species
GGAACAGUCAGGACUGGAAUCUAGCUUUGCUCCAAAGCCAGCUCUUAAUUACCAACAUGGGGAUGGGGGUGGCGUGUUCCUGGCCCUCAUUUUCCGGGAGAGGGGUAACUCCCCCGAUUUUGGCCCCCACAUCCCUGAGAACCUUGGGGUCUGGCUGUAGGAGGUAGGGGAGCUCUGAGGGGUCCGCGCUGGCUAGUUCCUGAG